ensembl:miRNA
GCAGAGGUGAGGUGACCUCCACAGGGCCACCCGGGGAGUAAGUAGCCAAGUGGAAGUUACUUUACCUCUGU